GAUGAACGCUAGCGGCAGGCUUAAUACAUGCAAGUCGAGGGGCAGCAUGAUUGUAGCAAUACAAUUGAUGGCGACCGGCAAACGGGUGCGGAACACGUACACAACCUUCCAACAAGUGGGGGAUAGCCCAGAGAAAUUUGGAUUAAUACCCCGUAACAUAGCGAUGUGGCAUCACAUUGCUAUUAUAGAUUUUUCGCUUGUUGAUGGGUGCGCGGCUGAUUAGAUAGUUGGCGGGGUAACGGCCCACCAAGUCUACGGUCAGUAGCUGAUGUGAGAGCAUGAUCAGCCACACGGGCACUGAGACACGGGCCCGACUCCUACGGGAGGCAGCAGUAAGGAAUAUUGGACAAUGGACGCAAGUCUGAUCCAGCCAUGCCGCGUGAAGGAUUAAGGUCCUCUGGAUUGUAAACUUCUUUUAUAAGGGACGAAAAAAGGCUUUUCUAAGUCGUCUGACGGUACCUUAUGAAUAAGCACCGGCUAACUCCGUGCCAGCAGCCGCCGUAA
rnacentral:rRNA from 1 species